rnacentral:rRNA from 1 species
GAUGAACGCUAGCUACCGGCUUAACACAUGCAAGUCGAGGGACCGGCUCACGUGUGAGUACCACGUAUCCCACCUGCCCUUUACUCGGGGAUAGCCUUUCGAAAGAAAGAUUAAUACCCGAUGUCACGGAGUGGGAUGCGUUCCAUUAGGUUGUUGGUGAGGUAACGGCUCACCAAGCCUUCGAUGUAUAGUGUUUCUGAGAGGAAGGUCACCCACAUUGGAACUGAGACACGGUCCAAACUCCUACGGGAGGCAGCAGUGAGGAAUAGUGGGCAAUGGGCGUUAGCGUGAACCAGCCAAGUAGCGUGAAGGAUGAAGGAUUAUGGGUAGUAAACUUCUUUUAGAGAAGAAGAUGUAUUAUAUGAAGAAGGAUCGGCUAACUCCGUGCCAGCAGCCGCGGUAAUUC